rnacentral:rRNA from 1 species
UACAGAGGUCUCAAGCGUUGUUCGGAUUCAUUGGGCGUAAAGGGUGCGUAGGCGGCGCGGUAAGUCGGGUGUGAAAUCUCGGAGCUUAACUCCGAAACUGCAUUCGAUACUGCCGUGCUUGAGGACUGGAGAGGAGACUGGAAUUUACGGUGUAGCGGUGAAAUGCGUAGAUAUCAGGAGGAACACCGGUGGCGAAGGCGGGUCUCUGGGCCGUAACUGACGCUGAGGAGCGAAAGCGUGGGGAGCGAACAGA